rnacentral:lncRNA from 1 species
GUUCUAACAUCUACAUUUGUAUAUAUAAUAUUUGAGUAAUAACAAAAUAUUAUUAACUGUUUUACUGUUAACAAAAUCCUCAGACACACCUAAAAUGACUUCUUUUGCACUGAAAGGUAGGAGAAUGCCACAAUUUUUAAUCCAAUCUUUAACGGAUAGCCAGAAGUUUUGUGAUACAUUACAUUCCCAAAAAAUGUGAAAAAUA